UUUUUUGGGGGGGGGGGUUCAGAUUUUAUUUCCUGUACAGCAAAAUCCAAAGUGAGCCCAAGCCAUUUUAAAGCUGAAGAGAGAUCUCAUGCAAGAAUACAGCCAGCAUCAAACUGCUAAUGUCUUCCAUUUUCUUUUGAGGCAGGAAAAUAUCUUACUUCUUUUAUGGAAGAAGGAUAAGUUGAACUGUUGUAAGGUCAAAUAAUAUAGCUAAGCAUUUAGAUAGAUAUAUAAAGAAACAUUGUAAGAGCACUUUGCAACCAAGGAUAACCUCUGGCUUAUGCAGCUUGCAUCAUGACCAUGCAGAACUUGUUUAAUGGUUUGGAGUACAAGAGAAGCUCGUUGUGUAGGCAGAGCUGUAUGGAAAUGUUCUAAGCAAACAUGGGGAGAGGGAGCUUUUGCCUUGCACAGGAGCACACUCAAAGCAGUAGCUUAGAGUAAAAUUUACAGUGUUGUGAAUAGCUCAGUAGCAUUAUGCAAUAGUACUGGGAAAAGCAUAAGCAAAUCCUGAGUUUCCCGGUGCUGAAGUAGCAGAAUGCACUUCAUUGGGCAUAAACAUACGAGGAGGAUUAAUUCAAAACAAGAUUGUCUAAGUGGUGCUUAUCACUGUAUAUCCAAAAUACUGUUAUAGGAAGUUACCAAACUGAAGGCAGUCUCGCCUCAGUAAUCAGUGCCCCACUGGACUGAAAUCCAUAAUCUGUAAUCAUAUCGGUGCUGCAGUUCUUCUCAUGCCUUAUCAUUGAUACCUGUGCUGCUGUGGAGUACAUUUUAGGCAGUUUAAGUGGCUUCUGACAGUUAAUGAUUGGCUUAUGCUCUGAAAGCAAUAUAGCUUGAUUAUUUACAUCUCAUACAAAAUAAUGAGGGCUGUAAUAAAAUGUUUCUGCUAGUCUCUUAAUUAUCUUGAUGUAAUCCAUUCCAGCUCCAGCCAUGCUCAUUUAUGAGGAUCCAUCGCGCAGAAGUCUGUCUAUGGAACUUUCCUAUAAAGCCUGUGGCAUUCCAGUUUGACUGUGGAAGCAAGUUUUCUUUUACAGAAACUGAUACUGGUGUGACGAAGGAGGACAGGUAGCUCUAGAGACUUCAGAGGUUGCAGAAUACAGCAGCUUUUCCCAGAAGUGUAUCAGAGUCUUGCUUCCAGUAAUGUCUGAACACUGUGGUUACGGAGAAAGGAUGAUCCGUUCCUGGGUCCUCUUGCCUGCAGUGCUGUGUGCCACCAAAGCAGUAGAUGAACUCUCGCUAUCGACUGGAAGCAAGGUUGUGUGUGAAGAUCACUGUGUGCUGCUUACUUUGUUAUAAGUCCCAACAUUUGGAAGUGAGGGAAGUGGACAGAGAAGUGGGGAACGCAGUGCUUUCUGUCUCUGUUCAGAAAGAAUGGUUUUCAUAAGGGGUUUGAAGCUGUACAUGUACGAUGAUAAAGAGCAGAACCAACAUGGCAUGAACACACAAGCUUAGAGCCAAUGUGAAAUAUGCCCCAGGCUUGGUCUUAAAUCAUAGUUUACGUCUUGUCACAGACAUCUGUAUAUUAUUACUUAUUUUCAAGUAGAUUACUUUUCUUUUUAGAAGUCCAAGUAAUGCCUAAACAAAAGGUUAUUGCAAGCAGCUUUGGGUUUAAUUCGUGAGGUGCUGCAAUAAGGAAACUAUUUGAGGAUAGAGGUAUUAGCUAUUUGGUUAUUUGAGAAUAACUGCUAGCCAUUACACAGAAACAUAUCAUGCUUGCUACUAUGGUAUCUUACAAAUAUUUACUAAACAACAUCUUGCUUAAAUCCUAUUCCUUGUUAUUCCAUUUGGCUGUAUGAGAACUGCCAAACAGAGCGACCUGAUGAUGGCUGUAAGCUGGGGAAGCUGUUCCUCAGGAGUGGUGGUGCCUUAUUGCCCCGUUCUUAGUCUCACCAAGGAGUUAGGUAUCUCUUCUUACCGGGCUGCUCAUUAGCAGGUCUGUGUGCCUUACAGAAGGAAUUGGUAUCACACUGUCAUUUUGCUGCAGAGGGAGAAACUGAGGCAUAAUGGAGCAGAAAAAAACAUUGUGGUUGGUGCGUAGCAGUAAUAGUAGUGCCAGGCUGGAGAUUAAGCCAGCUCUGCUGAGAUUUUAUCCAAUACUUUCCAGUGGGUCAUAAAUGCAUAAAGUAAUCAGGCAAGGACUUUGUCAGAGCACAUCUGCUCCAGUGUUUCUGGUAAAAGUACAUCCGUUAUCCCAAUUAAAUCAUAUGGUCCGGCACUGAUGAUGUGUGAAGGUAAAGCCAUCAGUGGCCUGGCUGUGUCUUUCAGACAGACCAAGAAGAAUGUUGGGCAAGCUAAAUCCAUUUAAUUUCUGGUGCUGCCAAUGCUGGAUAUGGGUGUACGUGGAAGUGGAGCCUCAGGGAUUUCACUGGGGGCUCCAUGUGGACAAAAUGAUCUCUUUCACUCAAGGAAGCUUAUAAUAUCAAAACCACUGUAAGAAAAUGGUCUCUGUACAAAGCUUACCGAGAUGAAGGUUUUCCAAUGGCAUGUCAGUUAACAUUCCCAAGAAGUGGUUUACCUGAGAUUAAUAAUGCAUUUGGAGGAGGUCUGUGAGAUAGCCUGCUGCUCCUGUCAAGUCUCCUGCCAGUCCCAGAAGGGAGGAGGUAAGUUGUAUUUUCCUCUUGCUGUUCUGCUUGCAUAAAAGUGACCUGGGAAAAUAAGAGUAAGCAGAUGAGGCAAGGAGAAAUUGGUUGACUGGGUCUAACUGCAAAAAGGAAAUGCAAACCCCUCAAUUCACCCUCAUGCUAAGGUGUUGUGGUUUUUUUUUUGAAGAAUAAAAGGAGGUAGCAGAAUUCAUGCAAGGCUUUAUACAUUUGUUUUCUAUAACAGUGCUUUGUUUCCUUUUGGUCCUUCAAGUCCUUUUUCAGUACUGGAAAUAAGCAACCACAUAGAGCAGGAUUUUUCCCUGCUGCUGUGCAUGUGUAUGAACAGCUUCCAAAGGAGGCUUUUGUGGGGCAUCAGAUGGGUUUACCUUGGGCUCAAUGAGUCCUUCAGUUAGGCUUUAAUAUAUUAUUUUCCCUGUCAUUUCUGCUUAGAUAGUGACAUUGAAUGCUCUGAUGAUAUCAACCAACUAUGUGUUCCUUCACUGUCAAGUAUUUGGGAUGGAAAUUUAGCAGGCAGUUAGAUUAAAAUAAAAAUAUCCUGCUGGCAAGGAAAUAAAUUGAAUUAAGUCGGUGCUGCUCUGAAUGUUGGUAACUGUGGAUGAGUUUUCAUGGUUCAUUCUGAAGAGCUACCGAGGCACCCAACAGCUCAUAUAUUAAUGCUAAAUUACUGUUGUUAAAUUUAUUUCCCAAUUCUCUUUGGUAUUUAAAAAAUGCAUUAUCCCCACAUUGCAAAACUUGAAGAAGCUCUUUAUCCAUACCUCGGAACACAAGAAAUGGAAAAGCGGCAUCUAAAGUAAGAGGAAAUUGUCACAUGAACAACUGCACGUAAACCGGCGGUGAAUAAAAGAUGUUCCGUGCCAUCAGGGAGAGGGAAAUCUCCUCUUAGAGCUUCACAAGGGAAGUGUAGGGACCAAAGCCCUCGGGCUUUCUGUGGGGCUGAAUCAGAUCAUGAAAGAAGCUAUAAGUAGGUGAGCAGUCCCAAGGGAUGGCACUAAGCCACGUAGGAAGUCUCUUCUGUGCGGUAGUCUUUGAGGAACAGUCUCAGAGAUUGUUAAAUAUUGAAGGAAAUAUGAACUUCAAAAAGUGGUUUUUAAUUUAAAUAUCGUAAUAGUUGUUGUGUGUAAGAAGUAGAAAGCAUUGAGUUCAACUGUGCCGAAGGGAGGGCGAUGCCUGGCUACAACUCCUACUGAGCUCUGCCCCUUUCUGGGAGCUCGUAGGGCAGCCCAGAUCUUUCUUAGGGUAUGCCUUCUAUUGGAACACGAGUUCUUAGGGUGUGACUUUUCAAGCUGAGAUGUCUGCACAUGAAAGAAUUUGAGCUUUCAAAGAACUCCGGGCCUUUGCUUACCUCCUCUUGAAUUGUAGGGAUCUGAACUACUCGGAAAAGACGAAUUUACGCCGCUUUUCCAAAGGUGGGAUCUGGUUCCUUUGUUUGUACUGAAAGAUUGAUCAGAGCAGGUAAACAGACAUUUGGUGCAUAGCUAAUUAUGAGCUAUGGAAAAAUGGACAUUUUUUUUUAGUUGUUCCUAAAAGAUCAGGCUUAGGAUUCAAAGCCGUAACGCAUUUAUUGUGGUAACGCAAACUGAAGUCAUGUGAAUCGAGAACCAUAAGGGUUCCAUUAGCACACAUGGAAAGUCGAGUUGGGUCUGUAAUAGCACUGACAGUAAGUCCCAUUCAGGAGCAUUACUUCUUAAAAAUUAAACAAACCUCUCAAGUGGCUUAACGUGUAGCUGACAGUGCCAGCACGCUUCAAUUUCCAUUCAACCUGAAGUUGCCACACUCUCCAUUCUAAAUGGAAAUAGUGUUCUGCUGAUGUCACUGGCAAGCCUCCUUUUCUCCCAGCAAAAAUGUUUGUGUUACGGUGACUUCUUGAUCCCUGAGAAUACGUUUGUCUUGGUGAUCUGCUUCAGAUGCAAAUUGCUAUACCAGUCAGCUUGUGGGAAGAUAAAACCUUUCUUUAUUUUUAGUUCUGUCCAUUUAAAUCCAACGUGCAGUGCUAGAUGUUGGAAUCAACGUGGAUUCUUUCUGCUCGGAAGCCUCUGGGAAGAGAUGUCUCACCCCAGUGCUCAAAGGCUGCUUCUAAUUCUGUUGUUUUUUUAAUGUUAUUUCUUUAAGUGAUACCUAUGGAACGUGUUAGCCACCGAUUUGGGAAAUCUCCCUUGUAUCUCAGUCUUCUGUUUCUCUUGUUUCCUCCCCUGGCCUCAAAGCAGCAGCACAGCUGUGCCAGGAUACCCAGGACUGCUUUUCUGCGCCUCGUCCUUUCAGCCCCAUUGGAUGCUCAGCAGGAGCCGCUCAGUUCACACACGCAGUGCGUUCUGCCUUCCAAGAGCUUUCCAUCAGGCGAGAGGCUCUCUUCUUUUUGCCUGUUUCAAAUGUACCGUUCCACGUGUCCUACAAGAAGUCUUCACGCACCUCUCCAGGUAUUCAGGGAGAAGAAGUCCAUUUUUCUGUUGCCAUCAGACUCAGUGCUUCGUGCAGUGGUCCAUGAUGAGACCACUCAGGAAAAUACUCUUAGCUGUGGUUUCCAGCACAAGAAAUGUUGCAAAUCUGAGUUUAAAAAAAAUCAAGUUUGGCUGCUGCACAACACUUUCUCAGUUGAUUCCUUAUUAUUUAACACUUCUCUGAAGUUCAAGUCUUUCUUUUUUUUUUUUUUGUCUCCCCCCUUCAAUACAGCCUUCAUCCAAAAGACACUGCCAAAUGCUUUACAAGUAGUACAGAGAAAGAGAAAUUGUUUCUGGCACCUAUUGCAGUAGUCAGCACUGAGCAUCCUGCUUACCCAGCUCACAAAGCACAGAGCCUUAUUUUGUUAGGAUGUACAAAUGCUUCUGCUAUCAAACAAGCAAAAGGACAGCCAGCCCACCUAACCUGCUACCAGCUAGCCACCAAGGUGAGCUUACUGAGCCACUGAGCUUGUAGUUGUAUCAAUGGACACCAUUUGGUCAUUUAUAUUUCUUGCGAAAGAUGGUGGUCCCAUGGUGUGAGCUUUGAUAGCGUGGUAUCAGAAUGUUGUCCCAGUUAUGCCUACUGAUCAGUAAUUCAGAAGGCUCUGCACUAGUGAAGUGCUGGGAGGAGAGGUGCCUUCUGUUUUCUGCUCCAUACUUCCACUCUCUUCCCUCUCUUUUUUUUUCCAAGGUUGGCUUGGUAUUAUGUCAUUUCAGAUGGACAAGAUUAAGUGAAAUCCUGCUUUGGGUUUCUGAUGCUCUCCCCUCUGUUUUGUGUUAACACUGAGAAUUUGUUUCUGUGUUGUUUGUGGCUGAGGCUUUUUUCCCCACCCCCUGCCUGAGAUGGCUCAAGAAAUGCUGAACAGAGUGCUUAAUGAUUUCCAGUGUUUUCUCUUGACAUUUUAGUUUAGGAGAAUGAGCAAUGCCUCCACUGGGGACUUCCCUGGCAGAUCCACGUCUGAACAGCCAGGGCUGGCUUCCAAGAACAUUAAAUUCCAGCUGCUUUUCCAUCCAAGGCAAGAUAGGUUAUGCAUAUUUGGUGCCUGGCUUAACGCUGCAAGGGACAUAAUUUUCAGUGGUAUAAUGGACCGCUUGAGCCUCUCUUGUCAACUGGGAGUUUGAGUAUGCAGCGCGUUUGGAAAUGCAGCCCAUCCUUACCCAGCAACUGGCAAGGGAGAAAUCCAGACCUGCCAGUCGCUAUUUCAGCCUGUGACUUCUGCUCGCCUUUGUCCCAUCCAAGCGCGGUAAGGCAGAGCUUGUGUGCUCUUCUGGAGUUGGCUCCGCGUCUGCAGCUGCACGUUGAAAGGUACCGCAGUGUUUUCAGAAACCCAAAAGGUAGCCAGUCUCCAGCUGGUAAAAUUGUCAUCGUUCAUCGACUGAUUGAACUGCGGAAAUUUACCCAAGUAGAGGAUCAGGUCCAGUGUACACAGCUGGGAACCGAGCUGAGCUCAGUAGCUAUCUGUGCUCAGUGCUAAGCACCGGCCAACUGGGUUGCGCACGACUUUCUGCUAGGUAGCAGUGUGUCGAUCAAUGUCCUCUUGUUCGCUUGGAUCCAUGUUGUCUCCCAUUGCUCUGUCCCUUCUCUGUUCUCCUUUCCCUUCUAACUAAGCAACGUCUUACAGGCAGCGAGAGGGCGAGCCACAAUAGAUGAAAACAGAUCUGUUUUUGUGAUGUUUCUGGGGAAAACGUUCCUGCCCUUACACUUGAACUUCUCUAAGAGUGGUUAUAUUUCAUUACGCAUCUUAUCCUUGUUUGUGAAACAAGCAUGAGCUGUGCUUGCUAUGAGUUCAGUAGAGAAAAGAAAUGGAUAUUUGGGGAAGAUUGUUCCUCACUUGACAGCAUUAUUGUAAGCAAGGAAAUUUAAAGGAGGUUUUGCUUAGGCCCUCUAUUUUUCUCUGACUUUGUGUUUGUAUUUUUUUCCUGAAGUUUGUCUCAAGGUCUGCAUGAAGACCCAAACCUCUAAAAUGCUUUAAAGUCGAUCUCUCUCUGCCCGCGUGUAUUCAGCUAGCGUGGUAAAAUGUUUUGUUUCUCUUUUUUCUUUCCAGAGUCUAUGAGAUCAUUCAAGUACGGAGACUUGGCAGCCUCCAUGUACGUACAAAGACGGCUGUUUGAAUUUCAGACUAAGUGUCGUUCUGGCUAAGGAUGAAUUAUUUGGUGUGUUACAUGAGGAUUUGCUGCUUUAUCUGGCCUGAAUAAGGUGAACCCUGAGGCUGAGGGGAAGGGAGGAGAACAGAGGGCCCAGGAGAAUGGGCGAAGCUGGCAAAGGCUAGACUGAAUGUCUGCAUAGUUAGCAAAGGACGUGGCCUGGAAAGGGAGACCUCGGUGUCAUGGAGGGCCCUUGCCUGAAUGUGAUGCCUAUAGGCCAUAUUUUAAAACAAAACACUAACACAUUCAGCCUUCCUUGCUUUUGCUCCAAAUCACUGCAGCCGUGAGCUCCACCAGUGCAGACCUCCCUCACGAAAGCCACGGUGAUGUCACGUCCAGCAGCACAGGAGGGGAUCAGAGCGUGCUCCUACCCAUUCAGCACAGCCCCGAGAUUACUUUUAACCAAGGUCACUUCUGCAGUUCACUUGACAACAGCCUGGGCAGCGGCACACUACUGGCACAGCCUGCGGACUGCUAUAGGGAUGGGAGGACAAACAGUGACAAUUGUCUCCCGGAUUUACUGCGUCGAAGCUGUGCCGCGGCUGCCUUCUGAUCAGAAGUGGGUAGAUAAAUCUGCUCCGUGUUCUGCAGUGACUGCCUGCUGCCCUGAAGGAAGCGUGUCAUGUCUGCAAGGAAGCGUUUCAACCUGCAGCCGUGGAGUACGAACAGCAUCAAUCACUCCUUUCCAACAAAGGUUGGGUUGUGCUGAGCCCUAAUCUUUUAAAUAAGACCUACUGUAACAUGCACAGAAUGUUUCCCAUGUUGGAUUCUACCUUACAAGCACUGAUUACGCCCACUGAUGCUUCAUGAGACAACCAAGCCAGACUUGUGCCUCGAUUUGAAAAUACUCUGACACAAUAAAAGAAGACUUCUUAAUAUUUCAUUCCUUUGCUGCAAAGCUGGAAAGCACGG
ensembl:lncRNA